rnacentral:rRNA from 1 species
AUACGUAGGUGACAAGCGUUAUCCGGAUUUACUGGGCGUAAAGGGCGUGUAGGCGGUCUUGCAAGUCAGAAGUGAAAUUCCUGAGCUCAACUCGGGCGCUGCUUCUGAAACUGCAGGACUUGAGUGCUGGAGAGGUUAUCGGAAUUCCCGGGGUAGCGGUGAAAUGCGUAGAGAUCGGGAGGAACACCAGUGGCGAAGGCGGGUAACUGGACUGCAACUGACGCUGAGGCGCGAAAGUGUGGGGAGCAAACAGGAUUAGAUACCCUGGUAGUCCACACUGUAAACGAUGAAUGCUAGGUGUAAGAGGUAUCGACCCCUUUUGUGCCGGAGUCAACACAAUAAGCAUUCCGCCUGGGGAGUACGGCCGCAAGGUUGAAACUCAAAGGAAUUGACGGGG